UAAGGAAUAUUGGUCAAUGGACGCAAGUCUGAACCAGCCAUGCCGCGUGAAGGAAGACGGCCCUACGGGUUGUAAACUUCUUUUGUACGGGAAAAAACCACCGGUCGAGCAUCGGUGCUGAUGGUACCGUAAGAAUAAGCAUCGGCUAACUCCGUGCCAGCAGCCGCGGUAAUACGGAGGAUGCAAGCGUUAUCCGGAUUCAUUGGGUUUAAAGGGUGCGCAGGCGGAAUGAUAAGUCAGUGGUGAAAUCCUACGGCUCAACUGUAGAACUGCCAUUGAUACUGUUGUUCUUGAGUACACUUGGAGUGGGCGGAAUGUGUCAUGUAGCGGUGAAAUGCUUAGAUAUGACACAGAACACCGAUCGCGAAGGCAGCUCACUAAAUUGUAACUGACGCUCAUGCACGAAAGCGUGGGGAUCAAACA
rnacentral:rRNA from 1 species